ACGUGGUAUCCUGUCUGAAUAUGGGGGGACCAUCCUCCAAGGCUAAAUACUCCUGACUGACCGAUAGUGAACCAGUACCGUGAGGGAAAGGCGAAAAGAACCCCGGCGAGGGGAGUGAAAAAGAACCUGAAACCGUGUACGUACAAGCAGUGGGAGCACAGGUUUACCUGUGUGACUGCGUACCUUUUGUAUAAUGGGUCAGCGACUUAUAUUCUGUAGCAAGGUUAACCGAAUAGGGGAGCCGGAGGGAAACCGAGUCUUAACCGGGCGUUAAGUUGCAGGGUAUAGACCCGAAACCCGGUGAUCUAGCCAUGGGCAGGUUGAAGGUUGGGUAACACUAACUGGAGGACCGAACCGACUAAUGUUGAAAAAUUAGCGGAUGACCUGUGGCUGGGGGUGAAAGGCCAAUCAAACCGGGAGAUAGCUGGUUCUCCCCGAAAGCUAUUUAGGUAGCGCCUCGUGAAUUCAUCUCCGGGGGUAGAGCACUGUUUCGGCUAGGGGGCCAUCCCGGCUUACCAACCCGAUGCAAACUGCGAAUACCGGAGAAUGUUAUCACGGGAGACACACGGCGGGUGCUAACGUCCGUCGUGAAGAGGGAAACAACCCAGACCGCCAGCUAAGGUCCCAAAGUCAUGGUUAAGUGGGAAACGAUGUGGGAAGGCCCAGACAGCCAGGAUGUUGGCUUAGAAGCAGCCAUCAUUUAAAGAAAGCGUAAUAGCUCACUGGUCGAGUCGGCCUGCGCGGAAGAUGUAACGGGGCUAAACCAUGCACCGAAGCUGCGGCAGCGACACUGUGUGUUGUUGGGUAGGGGAGCGUUCUGUAAGCCUGUGAAGGUGUGUCGUGAGGCAUGCUGGAGGUAUCAGAAGUGCGAAUGCUGACAUAAGUAACGAUAAAGCGGGUGAAAAGCCCGCUCGCCGGAAGACCAAGGGUUCCUGUCCAACGUUAAUCGGGGCAGGGUGAGUCGACCCCUAAGGCGAGGCCGAAAGGCGUAGUCGAUGGGAAACGGGUUAAUAUUCCCGUACUUGGUGUUACUGCGAAGGGGGGACGGAGAAGGCUAUGUUGGCCGGGCGACGGUUGUCCCGGUUUAAGCGUGUAGGUGUGUGUUCCAGGUAAAUCCGGUUCACUUUAACACUGAGGCGUGACGACGAGGCACUACGGUGCUGAAGCAACAAAUGCCCUGCUUCCAGGAAAA
rnacentral:rRNA from 1 species